GCUCUGAUAGCUCAAGUGGUAGAGCAUUCGGCACGUAACUAAAUGAUCUGAGUUCGAAUCCCGGUCUAGACU
rnacentral:tRNA from 1 species